rnacentral:misc_RNA from 1 species
AUUUCUGAGAGCCGGUGAGUUU